rnacentral:rRNA from 1 species
AACGAACGCUGGCGGCAUGCCUAACACAUGCAAGUCGAACGAGACCUUCGUGUCUUGUUGCGCACGGGUGCGUAACGCGUUGUAACCUGCCCUUAUUUUCGUAAUAACUCCCCGUAAUGGGUUCUAAUACCGGUUAAUUUCUUCGGACCAAAGAUUUAUCGCCUUUUGAUGGGCCCGCGUUGGAUUAGCUAGUUGGUAGUGUAAAAGCCUACCAAGGCGACGAUCCAUAGCUGGUCUGAGAGGAUGAUCAGCCACACUGGGACUGAGACACGGACCAGAAUAAUAAGGGAGGAAGGAGAGGGGAAUAUAGGAAAAGGGGAGAAAGAAAGAAAAAGAAAUGCGGGGAGAGAGAGGAAGGAGGUAGGGAAGUAAAGAUCUUUUAAAAGGGAUGAUAAUGACAGUAACGGGAGAAUAAGCGCCGGCUAACUACGUG